rnacentral:tRNA from 1 species
UCUCCUAUAGCUCAGUUGGUAGAGCGUGCGGCUGUUAACCUCAAGGUCACUGGUUCAAACCCAGCUGGGAGAG